rnacentral:rRNA from 1 species
AUUGAACGCUGGCGGCAGGCCUAACACAUGCAAGUCGAGCGGAAACGAGUUAUCUGAACCUUCGGGGAAGGAUAACGGCGUCGAGCGGCGGACGGGUGAGCAAUGCCUAGGAAAUUGCCCUGAUGUGGGGGAUAACCAUUGGAAACGAUGGCUAAUACCGCAUGAUGCCUACGGGCCAAAGAGGGGGACCUUCGGGCCUCUCGCGGCAGGAUAUGCCUAGGUGGGAUUAGCUAGUUGGUGAGGUAAGGGCUCACCAAGGCGACGAUCCCUAGCUGGUCUGAGAGGAUGAUCAGCCACACUGGAACUGAGACACGGUCCAGACUCCUACGGGAGGCAGCAGUGGGGAAUAUUGCACAAUGGGCGCAAGCCUGAUGCAGCCAUGCCGCGUGUGUGAAGAAGGCCUUCGGGUUGUAAAGCACUUUCAGUCGUGAGGAAGGCGGGUACGUUAAUAGCGUAUUCGUUUGACGUUAGCGACAGAAGAAGCACCGGCUAACUCCGUGCCAGCCGCCGCAGUAACAC